AAAUUGAAGAGUUUGAUCAUGGCUCAGAUUGAACGCUGGCGGCAGGCCUAACACAUGCAAGUCGAGCGGAAACGAGUUAUCAGAACCUUCGGGGGACGAUAACGGCGUCGAGCGGCGGACGGGUGAGUAAUGCCUAGGAAAUUGCCCUGAUGUGGGGGAUAACCAUUGGAAACGAUGGCUAAUACCGCAUGAUGCCUACGGGCCAAAGAGGGGGACCUUCGGGCCUCUCGCGUCAGGAUAUGCC
rnacentral:rRNA from 1 species